AUAUUGGACAAUGGGCGCAAGCCUGAUCCAGCCAUGCCGCGUGGGUGAUGAAGGCCCUAGGGUUGUAAAGCCCUUUCGGCGGGGAAGAUAAUGACGGUACCCGCAGAAGAAGCCCCGGCUAACUUCGUGCCAGCAGCCGCGGUAAUACGAAGGGGGCUAGCGUUGCUCGGAAUUACUGGGCGUAAAGCGCACGUAGGCGGAUUGCUAAGUCAGUGGUGAAAUCCCGGAGCUAAACUCCGGAACUGCCUUUGAUACUGGCGAUCUUGAGUUCGGGAGAGGUGAGUGGAACUGCGAGUGUAGAGGUGAAAUUCGUAGAUAUUCGCAAGAACACCAGUGGCGAAGGCGGCUCACUGGCCCGAAACUGACGCUGAGGUGCGAAAGCGUGGGGAGCAAA
rnacentral:rRNA from 1 species